UUUCCCAUCCUGGUCUCUCUCGGUCUAUCUCUCUCGUAGACCUAUCUCUCUCGAUCUUUCCCGUAGACCUAUCUCUCUUGGUCUCUCUCUCGGUCUCUCGGUCUUUCCCGUAGCUUGCUCUUGCAGGUCACCGUUAGAGCCUCUUCCUCUCUUUGUACCAAGUUCUCCUUUGCUCUAUCGAUGGAGGAGCCUCUUCUAUUAUGAGAAAUACCUCAAACCUACCAGCUGUUUCACUCAUUCUCAGGGUUGCUUGAGGAAGUACUAGCUAUAUUGUUUGUGGGCAUUCCUGCUUGGGCAUAUCAAGCAAUCUGACCUCCUCCCAAGAUAGUGCUAAGCAUAAACUUGUCUUUG